UACGGGGGAUGCAAGCGUUAUCCGGAUUUAUUGGGCGUAAAGCGUCUGUAGGUUGUUUACUAAGUCUGUUGUUAAAGACCAGGGCUCAACCCUGGGAAUGCGAUGGAAACUAAUAAACUUGAGUAUGGCAGGGGUAGAGGGAAUUUCUAGUGUAGCGGUGAAAUGCGUAGAUAUUAGAAAGAACACCGGUGGCGAAAGCGCUCUACUGGACCAUUACUGACACUCAGAGACGAAAGCUAGGGGAGCGAAAGGGAUUAGAUACCCCUGUAGUCCUAGCCGUAAACGAUGGAUACUAGAUGUUGUGUUUUAUACAGUAUCGUAGCUAACGCGUUAAGUAUCCCGCCUGGGGAGUACGCUCGCAAGGGUG
rnacentral:rRNA from 1 species